UACGGAGGGUGCAAGCGUUAUCCGGAUUCACUGGGUUUAAAGGGUGCGUAGGAGGGCAGGUAAGUCAGUGGUGAAAUCUCCGGGCUCAACUCGGAAACUGCCGUUGAUACUAUCUGUCUUGAAUAUUGUGGAGGUGAGCGGAAUAUGUCAUGUAGCGGUGAAAUGCUUAGAUAUGACAUAGAACACCAAUUGCGAAGGCAGCUCGCUACACAUAUAUUGACUCUGAGGCACGAAAGCGUGGGGAUCAAACAGGAUUAGAAACCUUUAGUCC
rnacentral:rRNA from 1 species